UUCGGCCGCCGAACAUGGGAUGCAUGCAGAGGCACGUUAGGCCCCCGAAAGUGGCCUGGUCAGCCACCUAUAAAGAGGUCCCCUGUCUGAAAUGGGCGAGUUUUCCUCUCCCCAUUUCCGGCCAAGGUGAGUCUCCGUCCUCCCUUCUCGAUCUUGAGUCCUUCCUUCAAGACUCUUAUGUUUUUACAAGUUAAUUAACUUGGUUUUGAAG
rnacentral:lncRNA from 1 species